UAACACGUAGGUGACCUGCCCGAAGUGGGGACAACUCGUCGAAAGACGAGCUAAUACCGCAUGUGAUCACUGAUUCAUUUCAGUGCUCAAAGUCGCAAGACGCUUUGGGAGGGGCCUGCGGCCGAUUAGCUAGUUGGUGGGGUAAUGGCCUACCAAGGCAACGAUCAGUAUCCGGCCUGAGAGGGCGGACGGACACACUGGGACUGAGACACGGCCCAG
rnacentral:rRNA from 1 species